CGAAAAAAGAGUUGCGGGGUGGUGUCUCCCGUACCUGCAAUAAACGCAGGAUCUUCGUGGCCACGG
rnacentral:ncRNA from 1 species